GCGGGUGUAACUCAAUGGUAGAGUGCCAGCCUUCCAAGCUGGUUACGAGGGUUCGAUUCCCUUCACCCGCUCCA
rnacentral:tRNA from 4 species